rnacentral:rRNA from 1 species
GUGGAUUAGAUACCCUGGUAGUCCUAGCCGUAAACGAUGGGCACUAGGUGUGGGAGGUAUCGACCCCUUCCGUGCCGCAGCUAACGCAUUAAGUGCCCCGCCUGGGGAGUACGGCCGCAAGGUUGAAACUCAAAGGAAUUGACGGGGGCCCGCACAAGCGGUGGAGCAUGUGGUUUAAUUCGACGCAACGCGAAGAACCUUACCAGGGCUUGACAUCCCGCGAAUCCCUUCGAAAGAAGGGAGUGCCCGCAAGGGAGCGCGGAGACAGGUGGUGCACGGCCGUCGCCAACU